GUCCACGCCGUAAACUAUCGGUACUAGAUGUCGGGCGGUCUUACCCGCUCGGUGUCGUCGCUAACGCAUUGAGUACCGCGCCUGGGAAGUACGGUCGCAAGAUUAAAACUCAAAGGAAUUGACGGGGGCCCGCACAAGCGGUGGAGUAUGUGGUUUAAUUCGACGCAACGCGAAGAACCUUACCUAGGCUUUACAUCCCGCGCAUAGCCAUGAAAGUGGUGAAUUCCCGCAAGGGACGCGGUGACAGGUGCUGCAUGGCUGUCGU
rnacentral:rRNA from 1 species